rnacentral:rRNA from 2 species
UGGCUCAGGACGAACGCUGGCGGCGUGCCUAAUACAUGCAAGUCGAACGAACUCUGGUAUUGAUUGGUGCUUGCAUCAUGAUUUACAUUUGAGUGAGUGGCGAACUGGUGAGUAACACGUGGGAAACCUGCCCAGAAGMGGGGGAUAACACCUGGAAACAGAUGCUAAUACCGCAUAACARCUUGGACCGCAUGGUCCGAGYUUGAAAGAUGGCUUCGGCUAUCACUUYUGGAUGGUCCCGCGGCGUAUUAGYUAGAUGGUGAGGUAACGGCUCACCAUGGCAAUGAUACGUAGCCGACCUGAGAGGGUAAUCGGCCACAUUGGGACUGAGACACGGCCCAAACUCCUACGGGAGGCAGCAGUAGGGAAUCUUCCACAAUGGACGAAAGUCUGAUGGAGCAACGCCGCGUGAGUGAAGAAGGGUUUCGGCUCGUAAAACUCUGUUGUUAAAGAAGAACAUAUCUGAGAGUAACUGUUCAGGUAUUGACGGUAUUUAACCAGAAAGCCACGGCUAACUACGUGCCAGCAGCCGCGGUAAUACGUAGGUGGCAAGCGUUGUCCGGAUUUAUUGGGCGUAAAGCGAGCGCAGGCGGUUUUUUAAGUCUGAUGUGAAAGCCUUCGGCUCAACCGAAGAAGUGCAUCGGAAACUGGGAAACUUGAGUGCAGAAGAGGACAGUGGAACUCCAUGUGUAGCGGUGAAAUGCGUAGAUAUAUGGAAGAACACCAGUGGCGAAGGCGGCUGUCUGGUCUGUAACUGACGCUGAGGCUCGAAAGUAUGGGUAGCAAACAGGAUUAGAUACCCUGGUAGUCCAUACCGUAAACGAUGAAUGCUAAGUGUUGGAGGGUUUCCGCCCUUCAGUGCUGCAGCUAACGCAUUAAGCAUUCCGCCUGGGGAGUACGGCCGCAAGGCUGAAACUCAAAGGAAUUGACGGGGGCCCGCACAAGCGGUGGAGCAUGUGGUUUAAUUCGAAGCUACGCGAAGAACCUUACCAGGUCUUGACAUACUAUGCAAAUCUAAGAGAUUAGACGUUCCCUUCGGGGACAUGGAUACAGGUGGUGCAUGGUUGUCGUCAGCUCGUGUCGUGAGAUGUUGGGUUAAGUCCCGCAACGAGCGCAACCCUUAUUAUCAGUUGCCAGCAUUAAGUUGGGCACUCUGGUGAGACUGCCGGUGACAAACCGGAGGAAGGUGGGGAUGACGUCAAAUCAUCAUGCCCCUUAUGACCUGGGCUACACACGUGCUACAAUGGAUGGUACAACGAGUUGCGAACUCGCGAGAGUAAGCUAAUCUCUUAAAGCCAUUCUCAGUUCGGAUUGUAGGCUGCAACUCGCCUACAUGAAGUCGGAAUCGCUAGUAAUCGCGGAUCAGCAUGCCGCGGUGAAUACGUUCCCGGGCCUUGUACACACCGCCCGUCACACCAUGAGAGUUUGUAACACCCAAAGUCGGUGGGGUAACCUUUUAGGAACCAGCCGCCUAAGGUGGGACAGAUGAUUAGGGUGAAGUCGUA